ACCAUUCCCAGGCUAGCCUGUGGGCUGAGCACGUAAAAUUACUUAUCUCGAAAGCCCGACAUGAUGAGUUCGAUUCCCAGACUCCAUGGUAGAAGGAGAGAGCAGACCCUUACAAAUAGUCUUCUGUCUUCUUCCACACAUUUGUCAUGGAGGUUGCGGGAGCACAGCCUGCCCUAUGGUUUAUGACUAAUUUGCAGCCAUUUGAGUUCAAAUACUGCUGAGAAGAUCCAAACUGCAAAGAAACACCCUGGAGCACCCUGUUUAUUCCUCUAGCAUCUGAGCACAGCGGGGAGUCUCCUUUCUUCUGCUGGAGAUGAUGUCUAUAUUGGCCAUUACAGAGAGAGGCAUAGACAGGGAAGAAUGCAUUCCUAGCCUCAACACUGGCACCUGCCCUGUCAGCAUUAGUCUGUUAAAGAAGCCCCAUUCUUCACCAAAGCCAAGGCUCUAAAACUGAACUCAGAGUUUCAGCACAGCAGGAUGUGCAGGGUACAUCCUACAUGCUGGAUACAUCCUACCUGCUGUGGUAUACGCUGACAUCCACGUGGGGUAUAACUGGCAAGGGAUUCUUAUCCCCUGGCUUGUAAACUACAUCUGACCCUGAAGAGCUGUCCUUUGUCAGCAUCUGUCACAGGUGCCAGAGGAAGACUGAAAGCCAUCUUGGAAGGAUGCAGAGUCACCAGCUUUGGUGUGGCUCCCACGGUUCCUUGCGAAGACUUCCAAGGUUUUAUCUCUUGGCCAUCAGAGCUCUGCUUCCCUUGAUCUAUGCAGAUGGAAGACCCCUCAACCCUCAACCCAUUGCCUUCUCCCAAUCCAUACCCCACCAGUGCAACCCAGUGGUUCUACUGUUCUAAAUGGCCAUGUCUUGGGCCUCUGCUCCAACUUCCUACAACAUCACAGCUGAAUUCUUCCAUCAGUCAUUGUCACGGCCAUUGUCUUGUCUUCUCUGAAUCCCACAGACUUGUUGAGCUUGACUCAACUUCUCUUUGCCAUUCUCAACUCUUUCCUAUUCAGAAGAUUAAAACUUUGAUUUCAUUUGGA